UUAGUGUGGAUCUGCUUUGUAGCCAGCUCUCCUCACUUAACGUCACCUGACAGGCAUUGGCUGCCAGUGGCUGAGUUGGGAGAACACAGGCCCCCCAACUCUGGCCUCCCGCGCUCACCGCUCCAGCUGCUUCUGAUGCUUCUCCUCCCGGGCCUGGGCCUUCAUCUGCUGCACCUCGAUGGUGUCAGGCUUCCUGCGGCGCAUAUACAGCUCAUGGUUGCCCAUGCAGAGCUGCAGGAUCCGCUUGUUGAUUCUCAGACGCGGGGCAUAAAACACAAAGUCCUACAAAACAGAACAGGGCCACCUGGACUCAAGCUCCUUUGUUUGGUUUUCUUCUCCCAAACCAUCCUUCACAAAGGUCCGGAACUUUUCUAAAAGAACAAAUGUAGCAAAACAGGGAUGGCAGCAUCUCGGCACUGGGAAUGUGCAUUCUCCAGGACAGAUGGAGGAAGGGCACGUGCCGCGUGUGUGUGCGGUUAUGUGUGGGUAUGUAGCACUGGGAAAGUGCAUUCUCUGGGACGGGUGGAGGAAGGGCAGGUGCCGCGUGUGUGUGCAGUUAUGUGUGGGUAGGUACAUGCUGCAUGCACGGUGAAAUGCCACUGCAUGUUAACUGCAAAGCUUUUCCAAGG
rnacentral:lncRNA from 1 species